UACGGAGGGGGCUAGCGUUGUUCGGAAUUACUGGGCGUAAAGCGCACGUAGGCGGCUUUGCAAGUUAGAGGUGAAAGCCCGGGGCUCAACUCCGGAAUUGCCUUUAAAACUGCAUCGCUAGAAUUGUGGAGAGGUAAGUGGAAUUCCGAGUGUAGGGGUGAAAUUCGUAGAUAUUCGGAAGAACACCAGUGGCGAAGGCGACUUACUGGACACAUAUUGACGCUGAGGUGCGAAAGCGUGGGGAGCAAACAGG
rnacentral:rRNA from 1 species